rnacentral:siRNA from 1 species
UAUAGGCCCCAAUUAGAUCCACA